AUUGAACGCUGGCGGCAUGCUUUACACAUGCAAGUCGAACGGAUUUUGGAGCUUGCUCCAGAGUUAGUGGCGAACGGGUGAGUAAUAUAUCGGAACGUACCCGGCAAUGGGGGAUAACGUAGCGAAAGUUACGCUAAUACCGCAUAUGCCCUGAGGGGGAAAGCAGGGGACCAGUAAUGGCCUUGCGUUGUCGGAGCGGCCGAUGUCGGAUUAGCUAGUUGGUGAGGUAAAGGCUCACCAAGGCGAGGAUCCGUAGCGGGUCUGAGAGGAUGAUCCGCCACACUGGGACUGAGACACGGCCCAGACUCCUACGGGAGGCAGCAGUGGGGAAUUUUGGACAAUGGGCGAAAGCCUGAUCCAGCCAUGCCGCGUGAGUGAAGAAGGCCUUCGGGUUGUAAAGCUCUUUCAGGUGGAAAGAAAAGGUUACGGAUAAUACCUGUAACUGAUGACGGUACCAUCAGAAGAAGCACCGGCUAACUACGUGCCAGCAGCCGCCGUAA
rnacentral:rRNA from 1 species